rnacentral:rRNA from 1 species
AUUGAACGCUGGCGGCAGGCCUAACACAUGCAAGUCGAGCGAGCGGCGGACGGGUGAGUAAUGUCUGGGAAACUGCCUGAUGGAGGGGGAUAACUACUGGAAACGGUGGCUAAUACCGCAUACCAUCCGAUGAGCCCAGAUGGGAUUAGCUAGUAGGUGGGGUAAUGGCUCACCUAGGCGACGAUCCCUAGCUGGUCUGAGAGGAUGACCAGCCACACUGGGACUGAGACACGGUCCAGACUCCUACGGGAGGCAGCAGUGGGGAAUAUUGCACAAUGGGCGCAAGCCUGAUGCAGCCAUGCCGCGUGUGUGAAGAAGGCCUUCGGGUUGUAAAGCACUUUCAGCGGGGAGGCGUUACCCGCAGAAGAAGCACCGGCUAACUCCGUGCCAGCAGCCGCGGUAAUUC